ACCUAAAACCCACAGUCCUCCAGACAGAAAGACAACAGGUACAAAGCCCUAAGGAUUAUAAAGGUAUGCUGCUUACCAUCAUCUUAGUGACCAAGGCAGCGAAGCUGUUUCUGUACCUUGGAACAGUCUUCCCUGACAAGCCAGAGAACAGUGAUAAAGCCACCAGCCUUGGGAUCAGGACUGAAAAGGCAAGAGUGAUGGAGAUUUCUCCUGCGCUAAGCCAAGAGAAGGUUUCAGCACUUCAGACAGCUCCCACCGAAGUAGCCGCGCUCCCAGCUGCUUGCAGAUGUUGAAAAGGAAAGCCUCGGUUUGUCUUGAGGUUGUCAGCAGGUGCAAGACACGUAAUAAAAUGCAAUGUGUUCCUAAUUCAUUGCAUAUCC
rnacentral:lncRNA from 1 species